rnacentral:rRNA from 1 species
CAUGCAAGUCGAACGAUGAACCUGUGCUUGCACGGGGGAUUAGUGGCGAACGGGUGAGUAACACGUGAGUAACCUGCCCUUGACUUCGGGAUAAGCCUGGGAAACUGGGUCUAAUACUGGAUACGACCUCUCAUCGCAUGGUGUGGGGGUGGAAAGUUUUUGCGG